rnacentral:lncRNA from 1 species
GGGAAAAUGGGUUCAAUCCCUGGCUUCACUCAGUAGUUUAAGGACACUGUGUUGCCACAAGCUGCAGCGUAUUUUGCAGAUGUGGCUCAAAUCUGGUAUUGCUGUGGCUGUGGCAUAGGCCAGCAGCUGCAGCUCUGAUUUGACCCCUAGCCUGGGAACUUCCAUAUGCCACAGGUAUGGCCCUAAAAAGAAAACACACACACACACACACACAUACAAAGAAAGAAAGAAAAGAAACAACAAUGUCCUACUGUAUAGCACAGGCAAUUAUAUUCAAUAUCCUGUAAUAAACCAUUAUGGGAAAGAAGGCAAAAAGAAUAUGCACACACACACAUACACACACACACAGGAAUAACUUUGCUAUAUACCUGCAACUAACACAACAUUGUAAGUCAAUUAUAUUUCAAUUUAAAAUUUUAAAAUAUAUAUAUAUAUAUAUAUAUAUAUAUAUUCCUCAACAGCAGAACCUCUUUGCAGGACUGAUCCCUGUGUAGUAGACAAUGAUAAUAUCAAGAUUUUGCUUUAUGUCAUGUUAGAUUCAGUGCUCUAUUUUGUUUUAUGAAAUAUCUGAAUGUAUAAUUAGCAACAUUUUAAAGAGGUUCUUCUGAGUUGAUUUUUAAAAAUCAUCUGAAUAUCAUUGGAUGCAAAAAUAUAAAAUUCUAAUAUUCAUAUAAAUUAUGGGAAAGCAGCUGAAAAUAUGGUAUUGGCAAAAACUGUUAUUUAAGUUACUCCCCAUAUUUAUUCUUCUUCCUGAGUUUUAGCUGUACAUAUGGAUGCCUAGAAUGUGAACAUUUCCUAGACUUCCUUGAGCUAGAGGUGACCUUAUGACUAACUCCAAAACACAAGCAGGAAAUAGAACUGGUGUGUGAAUUCCUACUUUCUAGAAUGCAGAUGUGAUGACUGGUGCUCCAGCAGCUAUUUUGAUUCAUAAGGUGAUUUCAGGAAUAGAAGCCACACAUUGGCAAGGCAACAAGAUAAGCCUGAGACCCUAAAACCACAGAAUACCUUACCAGCUCUGGAUUGCCCCUCUCCAGAUCUUUUAAACACAAGAGAAAUGGACAAACUAACCUGCUGUCAUUUUGAGUUCUUCUGUUACUUGCAUCUCAGCCUAAUGAGUAUAUAUGCAAAUCCUUAUAGGCAUGUUUCAUUGAAACAAUCUCCAGACUCAUACAAAGCCAGAAUCAUACAAAAAAUGCAGAUGUACGUUAAUUAAUUAACAGCUCUAACACUGGGUAAGUUACCCAAUCUCUCCAUAUCUUGGUAGCUCAUUUGUAAAAUAGGGAAAGUAAAGAUACAUACUUAUUUUUUCUCUUUUUCUGUUGUGCCUGUGGCAUAUAGAGUUCCUGGGCAAGGGAUCGAAUCCAAGCCACAGCUGGGGCAAUACCAAACCCUUAACCCACUGUGCCACAGCAGGAACUCCCAAAAGUAUAU